rnacentral:rRNA from 1 species
GAUGAACGCUGGCGGCGUGCUUAACACAUGCAAGUCGAACGAACCUUCGGGUUAGUGGCGGACGGGUGAGUAACGCGUGAGAAUCUGCCCUCAGGAGGGGGACAACAGCUGGAAACGGCUGCUAAUACCCCAUAUGCCGCGAGGUGAAAUGAAUUUCGCCUGAGGAUGAGCUCGCGUCUGAUUAGCUAGUUGGUGUAGGUAAUGGCUCACCAAGGCAUCGAUCAGUAGCUGGUCUGAGAGGAUGAUCAGCCACACUGGGACUGAGACACGGCCCAGACUCCUACGGGAGGCAGCAGUGGGGAAUUUUCCGCAAUGGGCGAAAGCCUGACGGAGCAGCGCCGCGUGAGGGAUGAAGGCCUCUGGGCUGUAAACCUCUUUUAUCAAGGAAGAAGAUCUGACGGUACUUAAGGGUAAGCCACGGCUAAUUCCGUG